rnacentral:rRNA from 1 species
GACGAACGCUGGCGGCGCGCUUAACACAUGCAAGUCGAGCGAAGCGGCGGACGGGUGAGUAACACGUGAGUAACCUGCCUUAGACAUUGGGAUAGCCUCGGGAAACCGGGAUUAAUACCAAAUGGUCUAAGAUGGACUCGCGUCCCAUUAGCUGGUUGGUGAGGUAACGGCCCUCCAAGGCGACGAUGGGUAGCCGGCCUGAGAGGGUGAACGGCCACAGGGGAAGUGAGAAACGUUCCAAACUCUACGGGAGGCAGCAGUGGGGAAUAGUGCACAAUGGAGGGAACUCUGAUGCAGGGACGCGGCGUGAACGAAGAAGGCUUUCGAGUCGUAAAGUUCUUUUAUAGGGGAAGCGGUACCAUAAGAAAAAGCCCCGGCUAACUACGUGCCAGCAGCCGCGGUAAUAC